AUGGGGAGUGGGAAGGUUCUGGGAGGGCAUAUGGCACCCAGAAUAUGGCUGUAGGCAUUUGUAAAUGGGGUUGUUGACAUUGAGCUUUCAGGAAGAGAAGAUUAAGACACAGAGAUACCAGAGAGGUCGUUCACAGAGGAAAGACCAUGUGAAGACGCAGUGAGAAGGUGGCCAUAUUCAAGCUGAGGAGAGAGACCUCAGAAGAAACCAAUACUGCCAACGCCUUGGUCUUGGACUUCCAGCCUCCAGAACUUUUGCCUCCCAUAUUUUUAUGAUGCCUUUUGAAAGCAUUCUUAAUGGUCCUGGAUCAGAAGAUGCCUGACAAGAGGCCACUAUCAGCAGCAACAGCACAGUGGGGACAAACCUGAGACCUUGAUGGACCGUGGACACCAGCAGGAGAGACAGAGGAACUUGAAGUCUAAAUGGGCAGACAAGACCAACAUACACAAAGCAGAGAGUGGCACAAGAGCCAUGUCUGAUGCAACAGUGACUCAGGAGGAUCACUCUGACUCAGAAUGGCCAAGCAAAGGUAUUGGGAGGAAGUGGGAUAGAACUGAGCUUUGAAGACCGUGCUAAAAUAUUUACAGACUCCCCAGGUUAUCUCAAGUUCUCUCCAGGAAUUAGCUUCACCUCUUUGUGCUUUGGCUCCACAUCAGUUAAAUAGUGGUAACGUUUGAUCGUUAAGAACCAUGUAGAGAUGAAACAAUUUUCAAAGUUUUUUAAUUAAGUGUACUCAUUGCCACUCAAAGACAAAUACCAUAUAAAUAUAAUAAUAAUCAUAUUGAGAAACAAAAUAGCAAUGAUGCAGAUACUCAUGUACUGUUUCAUGUUUGUGGUCUUUGAGGGGAGUUUUUACUCAAAUAUCCCUAGAUGAAUAAAUACAUAUGGUCUAUAAA
rnacentral:lncRNA from 1 species